rnacentral:rRNA from 1 species
UACGUAGGGUGCAGGCGUUAAUCGGAAUUACUGGGCGUAAAGUGUGCGCAGGCGGCCGAGCAUGUCGAGUGUGAAAGCCCCGGGCUUAACCUGGGAACUGCGCUCGAAACUACUUGGCUGGAGUGUGGCAGAGGAAGGUGGAAUUCCACGUGUAGCGGUGAAAUGCGUAGAGAUGUGGAGGAACACCGAUGGCGAAGGCAGCCUUCUGGGCCAACACUGACGCUCAUGCACGAAAGCGUGGGGAGCAAACAGG